GACGAACGCUGGCGGCGUGCUUAACACAUGCAAGUCGAGCGGUAAGGCCCUUUCGGGGGUCCACGAGCGGCGACCGGGUGCGUAACACGUGAGCAAUCUGCCCCUGUCUCUGGGAUAACCACUGGAAACGGUGGCUAAUACCGGAUAUGACCUCCUCCUGCAUGGUUGGUGGUGGAAAGGUCCGCUGGCCAGGGAUGAGCUCGCGGCCUAUCAGCUUGUUGGUGGGGUAAUGGCCUACCAAGGCGACGACGGGUAGCCGGCCUGAGAGGGUGACCGGCCACACUGGGACUGAGACACGGCCCAGACUCCUACGGGAGGCAGCAGUGGGGAAUAUUGGACAAUGGGCGAAAGCCUGAUCCAGCAACGCCGCGUGAGGGAUGACGGCCUUCGGGUUGUAAACCUCUUUCAGCAGGGACGAAGCGAAAGUGACGGUACCUGCAGAAGAAGGACCGGCCAACUACGUG
rnacentral:rRNA from 1 species